UACGGAGGGUGCAAGCGUUAAUCGGAAUUACUGGGCGUAAAGCAUGCGCAGGCGGUUUGUUAAGUCUGCUGUGAAAUCCCCGAGCUCAACUUGGGAAUUGCAGUGGAUACUGGCAGGCUGGAGUAUGGUAGAGGAAGGUGGAAUUCCCGGUGUAGCAGUGAAAUGCGUAGAGAUCGGGAGGAACACCGGUGGCGAAGGCGGGUCUCUGGGCAUUUCCUGACGCUGAGGCGCGAAAGCGUGGGGAGCAAACGGG
rnacentral:rRNA from 1 species